GGUUUCUUCUCUGUAAAUAAAAUAAAGAAAGUGGAGGGCCACUCCCUCGUUCUAACAAGCAAAUCAUGAUGGUUGUUUAAGCACAUGGUAACGCUAUUGCAACUGCUAACAGAGUUCUUAAUUACUAGGAGCAGCAGCAGCUUGCAAAGAUGUCAAGGCUCGAGACACGCAUAAACAAAUCAGAGGCAUGGGAGGGGAUGAUGGAUGCAGCAGAUUGCAUGCAACUAAACUACGGAGCAUUAGAAACGAACAAAAAGGGAGGCUAGGAAAGGGGAGAGGCCAGCAAUUGCAAUUGGCACACAUGAUUGUGCAUGCAUGCAUGCAUUGAUGCAAAAGCACAUCGAUCAGAGACGAGGCUGAGGGCAUGCAUUACCUUGCUCUUGUUGGACACCGGAGGAGCUCGGCAAGCAAAGGCGGAGUCGGAGUGCGAUGAAUGAGGCAAUGAGAUUUGCUGUGGGGCGGGGGCAGGAAGGGAGUCAAAAGGGAUCGAGAGGAUCAAGUCGAUCUCCUCUGUAUGUGUGUGUGAUGUGCCCGUUCUGCUGGGUGGUGGGGCGGUAUUUAUAGGCUCACGAUCGCUGCAUACCAGUUCAUCGUGGAUGGGGUGCAGCUAGGCUAGCUCAUCCUUCUUCUUUUUUUCCUUCUUCCUCGAGCA
rnacentral:lncRNA from 1 species